UGUGUUUGUGUUUUUUGUUAGAAUUAGAGGAUUUUCAAUUUCAAAAUAUUGGACAUGGAAUAGACAUCAUGACCUACUUUACUGACAUCCAGCUUAUUUGGAGUGGAAUUUUGAAGUAUUAUUUAUAAGUGGAGCCUAAUAACAUGGACUUCUAUUUUAAUAAAAAGUCUUCUUUUGUGUUUUAAUCAUAACUUUAAGGCAGAUUUUUA
rnacentral:lncRNA from 1 species